CGGAGGGUGCAAGCGUUAUCCGGAUUCACUGGGUUUAAAGGGUGCGUAGGUGGGUUGGUAAGUCAGUGGUGAAAUCUCCGUGCUUAACAUGGAAACUGCCAUUGAUACUACUGAUCUUGAAUUUUCAGGAGGUAAGCGGAAUAUGUCAUGUAGCGGUGAAAUGCUUAGAUAUGACAUAGAACACCAAUUGCGAAGGCAGCUUACUACAGGAAUAUUGACACUGAUGCACGAAAGCGUGAGGAUCAAACAGGAUUAGAUACCCUGGUAGUCCACGCCCUAAACGAUGGAUACUCGACAUUUGUGAUACACAAUAAGUGUCUGAGCGAAAGCAUUAAGUAUCCCACCUGGGAAGUACGACCGCAAGGUUG
rnacentral:rRNA from 1 species